AUGAGUAAACUUGCAACACCACCACCACAUGCUAUUAAUUCUGAUAUGUCACAAGUUAUUGAUGAUGCUACUUCUACUAUGAAUGAUGCUUAUGAUGAUGCUAGUACCAUGCUCGAUAAUGAUGGUGUGCCCCUUGGUGAAUUUCUUGAUGAACAAAUUGCUAGAGUAAUACAACAUGAUGUUGUUGAAUCUGAUGAUGAGCUUGAAACUGAAACUCCUAAAACACUUGCUAUAGCUAGCCCUCCUAGAUAUGAAUUGCCUAAGGUACCGGAAGGCUAUGUUAUAAGUGAAGAGGCAACUAGAGAUAUUCUUGCUUGUAUGGAUAGAGAUGAUCUAGAGAAAUUAUUACACAAGUAUAAAGAAAAAUCUCUGAAUGCUAGAAUGAAAUGUGAUCCUAAGUUUGAUACUUAG
rnacentral:rRNA from 1 species